UGUUCCUCUCCUGAGACAGGAUGGGUCUCUUUAUGCAUAAUUACAAGAAUCAGAUUUACCAUUCCAAUGGAUUGACUUCUGUAUUCAGAGCUCAGGAUGACAUCCACGCAUUUUGGUAUGAUUCUGCCAAAGCUCCAACCUUCAAUUUCAUCUAGUGCUGGAGAAGUCCUUGGAAACAUGUAUUCCUCAUCCUUUAGCCACCAAGACCUUCACACAUGCAAAUGUGUAAAUUAUAGUGGGCCCAUUUGUUUCUUGCGGUCAUCUAAAAAAGUCUUGAGUCAUAAGAUUCCAUGUGUGCAGGACCAAACCUCUUACUUUGGGUCAGACUUAGAAACAAACAAUUGUAUUAAUAUAAGCAGAGAACCGGCUAGAGGAAAAUUUUUAUCCACAGAAGAUCCAGGUUUCAUCUUGAGCAAAGUUGUCUUGUGUAGUCAAAAGUGAGUUGAUUUUACAAAGCUUUGUGUGUCUCCUGAUAGCUCUUAGUACAAUUAAACAACAAAGACAAUUGUUUUCUACAAUUGUCUAUAUAUAUGGGAUCUAGAGAAUGUUAGAAAACGUUCACAAAGCCAUUACUUCUUACUGGGUACCCAGAAAGACUACGUUUCUCAGUAUCCCUUGGGGUGGGGUGGGAUCAUGUGACUAAGUUCUGACCAAUGGGAAUGUGAGUGGAAGGGAUUGGUUACUAUCAGUUCAAAGCAUUUAAGAACAGGUGUGAACUCCCUGCAUCCUUUCUCUCUUAUUCAGAGGCUGUUAACAAAGAUUUUCUAGAUGGCAGAGAUGGAAGAUGAAAGCAGAGAGGAUCCCCGAGUUACUAGUGGAGGGUUGGAGGAGGACCACCUCCACUGGAUUGUUUUUUUGUAGUUGCAUUUGACCCCUGAGCUUUGGGGUUAUUUGUGACCUAUUGAUGAUAACACACUUAAGAGAAUACACUUUCAGAGGGGUUAAAGGGACCUUAGAUGCCUGAGUCCUGCAUUAUAUCCCUAGAGACCUACUUGGCUGUCAUCAAUCUAUCCCUAGAGACCUCCUUGGCUGUUAUCAAUCUAGUCAUCAAUAACCAAUGAGAACAGCUAUUCUUGGAACCAUCUCAUUAGCAUGGGUGGUUAGGGUGCAAUUCUUGGAGGUUCAGAGAUCUCGCAACUCAAUCAGCAACUAGGUACUGAGUCCCCACUGUUAGCCAGCUCACAGUGUUCAUUUCAGAUCUGAGAAGGCAUCAAAGGGAACAGUCAGAGCUCGCCACAAUUAAUGUUAUGAAGACAAUGAGGAGGAAUUGCUUUCCACUACAGUUGGUGGUUGUUGAUCACCAUGUGAAUAAUUGGCCACUAUUGGUUACACAGCUCCCCAAAGCUAGAGGGGCUCAGGUGAGCAUGUCCAUUCCUUCUCCAAAUAUACUCAUCCGAGAACUCACUUCUUGGCCUGCAGGGCUGUCCUAACACCUACCCCA
ensembl:lncRNA